rnacentral:rRNA from 1 species
AUUGAACGCUGGCGGCAUGCUUUACACAUGCAAGUCGAACGGUAACAGGCCGCAAGGUGCUGACGAGUGGCGAACGGGUGAGUAAUGCAUCGGAACGUGCCCAGUCGUGGGGGAUAACUACUCGAAAGAGUAGCUAAUACCUCAUACGAUCUAUGGAUGAAAGCGGGGGACCGUAAGGCCUCGCGCGGUUGGAGCGGCCGAUGUCAGAUUAGGUAGUUGGUGGGGUAAAGGCUCACCAAGCCAACGAUCUGUAGCUGGUCUGAGAGGACGACCAGCCACACUGGGACUGAGACACGGCCCAGACUCCUACGGGAGGCAGCAGUGGGGAAUUUUGGACAAUGGGCGCAAGCCUGAUCCAGCAAUGCCGCGUGCAGGAAGAAGGCCUUCGGGUUGUAAACUGCUUUUGUACGGAACGAAACGGCUCUGGUUAAUACCCGGGGCUAAUGACGGUACCGUAAGAAUAAGCACCGGCUAACUACGUG